ensembl:scaRNA
AUGGUCUGGGGAAAGGAUCCUACGUUGUUGAACCUGCCCAGUUGUGGGUGUGCAGUCUUGUACCAGGCAGCCCAAUCCUGACCUAAGUAAAUUCCCAGAAGUCUUUCCUGGAUUUUGAAUUUGUAGUAAGAGCUGUGGGCAUUCUAGCAGCAGUUCGAUGAUCAUGUAUGAUACUGCAAACAGGA